UUCCUCUGAAAUUUUUUUUUUUUUAUACAGACUAUGUACAGUAUUAUGUUGAAAGGAGUCUCAGUCAUCCUCCUCGACAAAAUAAAUCUCUGGAGUCAUUUUUGUUCUCACUAUUAUUAAAGACUGAUGUACAUUUUAAAACCUCACUGUAUGUACAUGUGAAUGUGAAUAUUAUCGAAUUGUAAAAGGGGGUCUCAAACUCUCAAUUGCCCCCUUUGACACACUGGAUUUCUAUACGGUAGUCAUUUGUGUCCUCACUACAUGUAAGUAUAAAGCCUCUUCAAGAAAAACAUACAUGUAAAUGUACAUGUAGGACUACUCGUAGGGAAAACAGAUCUUCUACACAUGUAUAACUUGUAAGUGUAAAAAGGGUUUCAAGCGCCCCCCCCCCCCCAUACUGAUGUUGAUGCAAAGGAAAUCCCCCUAGUAAUUGGUGUCCUCACAAGCACAAUAAUGAGGUCAAGCUGCAAAGACCAUAAAUCAUCCAAAGGACUUCCUUUUAAACAUUGAAUUUUCACUGAGUAAUAUCAGUUCAUUGUUUGGAAAUUGGAAUUAUUACAACACAGAACAAAGAGGCCUUCAGCUGUUCCCUGAAAAUCCAGGGUGUACAUGUAUUGUAUGUGUUGGUUACAAUGAUUGAAGAUGCAUUGUUUGUUGUUAUUGUUUACAAGAUUGUUUACAGGAGGAGUUUAAGAGGAUGUGUUGAUGGGUUUACAUGUACAUGUAGAUCAACAAGGAUGUGCAGAACAAAGGACGUGCUGGGAGACCAAUUUGGCCAUAUUGUACCCAUGUAUUUUAAUUAAAAAAACAAAACAAUAAAGGAAGUACAUGUACACUGAAUUUUCAAGCAGAAAUAGGCCUACAAAUCACUGUACUAUACAUGUACAUGACACGAGGCCCGUGUGGCAUUCUACAUUGUGUGGGACCAUUGUGACGAGAAAAGCGUUGCAUGAAUCUUUCCAGACACUCCACUCCAGGGUCUGCAACUUGAGACUGGCCAGCAGUCUUUGAAGAUCAGCAAUUGGAGGUGCAAUAUUGAUUGCACAGAGGAUGAGCGGCCCAUUGCAGAGCCUAUACUGGUGUGUAGGUCAUGUCAUGGGACAGCUGAAUGCAACAGAGAAGGCAAGCCAGAGGAUCUCCUCUCAUGUGCGGAGUGUGGCAACAGUGGUGAGUAACCAUGACAACACUAAUGA